AAUUUUGGACAAUGGGGGAAACCCUGAUCCAGCCGUCCCGCGUGUAUGAUGAAGGCCUUCGGGUUGUAAUGUACUUUUGGCAGAGACGACAAGGUACCUCCUAAUACGAGGUCCUGCUGACGGUAUCUGCAGACUAAGUAGCUGCUAACUACGUGCCAGCAGCCGCGGUAAUACGUAGGGUGCAAGCGUUAAUCGGAAUUACUGGUCGUAAAGCGUGGGGAGGAGGUUCGGAAAGAAAGAUGUGAAUAACCAGGGCUCAACCUUGGAACUGCAUUUUUAACUGCCGAGCUAGAGUAUGUCAGAGGGGGGUAGAAUUACACGUGUAGCAGUGAAAUGCGUAGAUAUGUGGAGGAAUACCGAUGGCGAAGGCAGCCCCCUGGGAUAAUACUGACGCUCAGACACGAAAGCGUGGGGAGCAAACAG
rnacentral:rRNA from 1 species